AAAUAAAUUUUUUAUGGUUUAAAAAUUUUAUUAUAAAUUUAUUUUACAUAUAAAUUUUAGUGUUAAUUAUUAUUUAUUUAAACAAUAAAUAAUUAUUUUAUGUAGUAAUUAAUUUUAAAAAUUUAAGAAAUUAAGAUUUAGUAAUAUAAAAAUUAUUAACUAAUUUUGUGCCAGCAGUUGCGGUUAUACAAAAAUUGAUUUAAAAUUUUUUAGAUAUUAAUAAAUAAAGUAUAUUUUAUAAUAUAAAAAUUAAAUUAUUAAGUGAAAUUUUAAUUUAAUAAAAAAUUAUUUAAAAAUUAUGAAUUAAUAAAUUUAAUAAAAAACUAGGAUUAGAUACCCUAUUAUUAAAAUUUAAAUUAUUAUGCUAAAAUAGUAGGUAAUUUUUUAUUGAAACUUAAAUAAUUUGGCGGUAUUUUAGUUUAUUUAGAGGAAUCUGUUUAAUAAUUGAUAAUCCACGAAUAAAUUUACUUAAUUUAAAAUUUUGUAUAUCGUUGUUAAAAAAAUAUUUUUUAAUAAAAAUAAUAUUUAAAAAUUUUAAAAUAAAAUUAAAUCAGAUCAAGAUGCAGAUUAUAAUUAAGAAUAUAAUGGAUUACAAUAAAUUUAUUUAAUUGGAUUUUAAUAUGAAAUAAUUAAAUGAAAUUGGAUUUAAAUGUAAUUUUAUUUAAUUUAAUAAAAUGAUUAAAUAUUAAAAUAUGUACAUAUUGCCCGUCGCUUUCAUUAAUAAAUUGAAAUAAGUCGUAACAAAGUAGAAGUACUGGAAAGUGUUUCUAGAAAGAU